rnacentral:misc_RNA from 1 species
GUUUCUCAUUGCUUUCGUUUUGGGUUCAGAUAAAACAAGAUUUUGGUGUUUGUCACUGCUGGCGGCCCAACGCGUGUGUCCGGGCUCGCGCCCAACCACACGCACAACUCCGCUUCGUGCGAACACGACGCGGCGAGGGGACCGCCAAAAGACGUUAAAUGGAGCACAUGGGUGUUUGUCCACCGCGUCGCACGGCCAAAGGCAGCACGACGGGCAGAGUUUUGAUUCGUAAUGAUCCAACCGCAGGUUCACCUACGGUUA